CCUACGGGGGGCAGCAGUGGGGAAUAUUGCACAAUGGGCGCAAGCCUGAUGCAGCCAUGCCGCGUGUGUGAAGAAGGCCUUCGGGUUGUAAAGCACUUUCAGCGGGGAGGAAGGCGUUAAGGUUAAUAACCUUGGCGAUUGACGUUACCCGCAGAAGAAGCACCGGCUAACUCCGUGCCAGCAGCCGCGGUAAUACGGAGGGUGCAAGCGUUAAUCGGAAUUACUGGGCGUAAAGCGCACGCAGGCGGUCUGUCAGGUCGGAUGUGAAAUCCCCGGGCUCAACCUGGGAACUGCAUUCGAAACUGGCAGGCUAGAGUCUUGUAGAGGGGGGUAGAAUUCCAGGUGUAGCGGUGAAAUGCGUAGAGAUCUGGAGGAAUACCGGUGGCGAAGGCGGCCCCCUGGACAGAGACUGACGCUCAGGUGCGAAAGCGUGGGGAGCAAACAGGAUUAGAUACCCGAGUAGUC
rnacentral:rRNA from 1 species